GUGCGAGCUUUGGACUCAUUGUCAAGCUCACUGCAGCUGUUGUGUUGGAUAUAUGAAUAAUUGAUAGACAGAGUACCGUAGGCUAUUGAUUUGAUAAAUGGCUAGUUGCAAUUGCUAGGUUCUGUACAGUUUUUACUGUACCACUAUUUGUAAAUCGGCUUGUUUGCUGGGAAUCAAGGGUUCGCAUCGAACAAAGACGAUAUGGCAGGAGGAAUUUCGGAAGAUAGAAACCUUGACUAUAAAUCACUAAUCGACAGGAGAAGUAAAGGAGGAAAACUGAUCGAUGUGAGAGAGAA